rnacentral:rRNA from 1 species
ACGAACGCUGGCGGCGCGCCUAACACAUGCAAGUCGAACUUUUGAGAGAGAGCUUGCUUUCUCAAGCGAGUGGCGAACGGGUGAGUAACGCGUGAGGAACCUGCCUCAAAGAGGGGGACAACAGUUGGAAACGACUGCUAAUACCGCAUAAGCCCACGGCUCGGCACCGAGCAGAGGGAAACGGAGCAAUCCGCUUUGAGAUGGCCUCGCGUCCGAUUAGCUAGUUGGUGAGGUAACGGCCCACCAAGGCGACGAUCGGUAGCCGGACUGAGAGGUUGAACGGCCACAUUGGGACUGACACACGCCCCAGACUCCUACGGGAGGCAGCAGUGGGGAAUAUUGCACAAUGGGGGAAACCCUGAUGCAGCGACGCCGCGUGGAGGAAGAAGGUCUUCGGAUUGUAAACUCCUGCUGUUGAAGAAGAUAAUGACGGUACUCAACAAGGAAGUGACGGCUAACUACGUGCCAGCAGCCGCGGUAAAACGUAGGUCACAAGCGUUGUCCGGAAUUACUGGGUGUAAAGGGAGCGCACGCGGGAAGACAAGUUGGAAGUGAAAUCCAUGGGCUCAACCCAUGAACUGCUUUCAAAACUGUUUUUCUUGAGUAAGUGCAAAGGUAGGCGGAAAUUCCCGGUGUAGCGGUGGAAUGCGCAUAUAUCGGGAGGAACACCAGUGGCGAAGGCGGCCUACUGGGCACCAAACUGACGCUGAGGCUUGGAAGUGUGGGUAGGCAAACAGGAUUAGAUACCCUGGUAGUCCACACUGUAAACGAUUGAUUACUAGGUGUUGGAGGAUUGACCCCUUCAGUGCCGCAGUUAACACAAUAAGUAAUCCACCUGGGGAGUACGACCGCAAGGUUGAAACUCAAAGGAAUUGACGGGGGCCCGCACAAGCAGUGGAGUAUGUGGUUUAAUUCGACGCAACGCGAAGAACCUUACCAAGUCUUGACAUCCCUUGACGAUGCUGGAAACAGUAUUUCUCUUCGGAGCAAGGAGACAGGUGGUGCAUGGUUGUCGUCAGCUCGUGUCGUGAGAUGUUGGGUUAAGUCCCGCAACGAGCGCAACCCUUAUGGUCAGUUACUACGCAAGAGGACUCUGGCCAGACUGCCGUUGACAAAACGGAGGAAGGUGGGGAUGACGUCAAAUCAUCAUGCCCUGUAUGACUUGGGCUACACAUGUACUACAAUGGCGUUAAACAAAGAGAAGCAAGAUCGCGAGGUGGAGCAAAAGUCAGAAACAACGUCCCAGUUCGGACUGCAGGCUGCAACUCGCCUGCACGAAGUCGGAAUUGGUAGUAAUUGCAGAUCAGCAUGCUGCGGUGAAUACGUUCCCGGGCCUUGUACACACCGCCCGUCACACCAUGAGAGCCGGGGGGACCAGAAGUCGGUAGUCUAACCGCAAGGAG